GCACCGUCUCGGCGCGUGGAAUAAUAUGCGACAGGUGCGCCUGCUUUCAUACUGGCGCUGCACUUCCCGGCGCUAUUAUUUUUCCGCUGCUUUGAUUCAUCGUUUUUCCGGUGCGGUCUGUUUUCCGCUCCAAAUCUGAUUUGCAUACGUUUAUGAAAUUUUUUGCUCGCAAACUUAUGCAAACGUGCGAAGAUCUCUCUUCCUUUCCUCGGCCCUUCCUUUGCUUGGUUCAAUGUUUAGUCCUGUUCGUUUCUGCGUAUUCGCUUUCGUAUAAUCAAACAGUAAAAUGUAAAGACUGAUUUGAAAGAUCAAUUAACAAAAAUUGAUGGGGUUUAUAGUGCUAAUCGGUGGAUGGGACAGAGUUAAACGCAACAUUCCUGAAUCAAUGAUUACAUUUGUUUGGCAAUACUUUAACCUGAUAUUUAUAGAUAAAAUUUAACAUGUUUUUUGCUGUUUGAUCGAGUGAAUCAUCUUAAAGCCGAUGACUCGCUUGUUCGUUCCGCCUUGUAGAUACCUUUUGUCUCCCAAAAUUCGUAUGCGCGCGCGUUCGGUUUCGCCCCAUUUCGAUCUGGCGUGUAGCGCGCCGCACUGCUUGUAUGCGGUGCUCGUGACUUGGCGCCGUCCCGACAUCGCUAUUGUUUUCCUGCCUCCGAUUUUUCGUUCAGCCUACAGAGUCUGUAUCUUCCCCACUCGGGAAUCAACAGUAAUCGUGGACGCCGGCACGAACUAGUUUUUGAGGCCCAUAUAUAUAUGGGCCUCAAAAUAAAACGCAAAUAUAUUUUUAGUAUAUUAUAUAUAUAUUUUUAAUCAGUUAAAUAAAUAUUAAAACAUAUAUAUAUUUUUUAUUUUGUCCUCUGUGAG
rnacentral:lncRNA from 1 species